rnacentral:rRNA from 1 species
UGAGCCUACGUCGGAUUAGCUAGUUGGUGGGGUAAAGGCCUACCAAGGCGACGAUCCGUAGCUGGUCUGAGAGGAUGACCAGCCACACUGGGACUGAGACACGGCCCAGACUCCUACGGGAGGCAGCAGUGGGGAAUCUUGGACAAUGGGGGAAACCCUGAUCCAGCGAUACCGCGUGUGUGAAGAAGGCCUUCGGGUUGUAAAGCACUUUAGGUGGGAAAGAAAGGUAAUCGAGGAAUAU